ACUUGUUUUAUGGUCUAGCAUGUAUCCUGUCCUCGAGAAGUGCUGUGUACUCGUGAGAAUGCGUGUUGUGCUGUCGUUGGGUCCCACUUUGGAGGAGC